rnacentral:rRNA from 1 species
CACCGCGGUUAUACGAGAGGCCCAAGCUGACAGCCAUUCGGCGUAAAGAGUGGUUAAAAUAGUAACUGAUUAAAGCCAAACUCCCCCCUAACUGUUGUACGUACUGGGAGGUAAGAAGCCCUUACACGAAAGUAGCUUUAACUAAUUGACCCCACGAAAGCUAGGAUA